GAAAUUCUUGUUCUUGUAUAUAAACAGGUAAAGGAAUUUUAAUAGCUUAUUUGAUUUAUAUUAAUAUUUAAGCCCAAUCCCCACUCUUAACCAUGGACUUGGAGUGAUAUUGUUUCUGGGCUAAAAGAAACAUUAGCCCGUUAAUAUGGGCCUCCAAACUUUAUUUGUUGAAAACUAAAAGUUUCAUUACUUUAAAUUAAAUUUCUUUAAUUUUUAUUAUUUUUAUCUGAUG
rnacentral:lncRNA from 1 species